AGUGAACGCUGGCGGUAGGCCUAACACAUGCAAGUCGAACGGCAGCACAGUAAGAGCUUGCUCUUACGGGUGGCGAGUGGCGGACGGGUGAGGAAUACAUCGGAAUCUACUUUUUCGUGGGGGAUAACGUAGGGAAACUUACGCUAAUACCGCAUACGACCUACGGGUGAAAGCAGGGGAUCUUCGGACCUUGCGCGAUUGAAUGAGCCGAUGUCGGAUUAGCUAGUUGGCGGGGUAAAGGCCCACCAAGGCGACGAUCCGUAGCUGGUCUGAGAGGAUGAUCGGCCAACCUGGAACUGAGCACGGGUCAAACCUCCUAGGGGGGGCAGAGGGGGGAAAUAUGGAAAAGUGGGGCAAGGCCUAAUCCACCCAUCCCGGGGGGGUAAAAAAGCCCUUGGGGUUGAAAAGCCCUUUUUUUGGGAAAAAAAAGCAGCAGGUUAAAACCCCGCUGUUCGGACGGUACCAAAAAAAAAAGCACCGGUAAAUUUGGU
rnacentral:rRNA from 1 species